rnacentral:rRNA from 1 species
GCUCGGGCUCGCAAUGCGCAGGAUAGGUGGGAGGCUUUGAUCCAUUGCUUGUGGGUGAUGGUGAGCCACUGGUGAGAUACCACUCUUUGCGAGCUAGGGUUCUAACGGUUACCCGUUAUCCGGGAACCGGACAGUAUCUGGUGGGCAGUUUGACUGGGGCAGUCGCCUCCUAAAAGGUAACGGAGGCGCGCAAAGGUUCCCUCAGGCUGGUUGGAAAUCAGCCGACGAGUGCAAAAGCAGAAGGGAGCUUGACUGUGAGACCUACAAGUCGAACAGGUACGAAAGUAGGCUUUAGUGAUCCGACGGUUCUGAGUGGAAGGGCCGUCGCUCAACGGAUAAAAGUUACUCUAGGGAUAACA